CCUACGGGGAGCAGCAGUGAGGAAUAUUGGUCAAUGGACGCAAGUCUGAACCAGCCAUGCCGCGUGCAGGAAGACGGCUCUAUGAGUUGUAAACUGCUUUUGUACGAGGGUAAACGCAGAUACGCGUAUCUGUCUGAAAGUAUCGUACGAAUAAGGAUCGGCUAACUCCGUGCCAGCCGCCGCGGUAAUACGGAGGAUUCAAGCGUUAUCCGGAUUUAUUGGGUUUAAAGGGUGCGUAGGCGGUCGGAUAAGUUAGAGGUGAAAUCCCGAGGCUCAACUUCGGAAUUGCCUCUGAUACUGGUCGGCUAGAGAGUAGUUGCGGUAGGCGGAAUGUAUGGUGUAGCGGUGAAAUGCUUAGAGAUCAUACAGAACACCGAUUGCGAAGGCAGCUUACCAAGCUACUUCUGACGUUGAGGCACGAAAGCGUGGGGAGCAAACAGGAUUAGAUACCCCAGUAGUC
rnacentral:rRNA from 1 species